rnacentral:rRNA from 1 species
AUUGAACGCUGGCGGCAGGUCUAACACAUGCAAGUCGAGCGGAUGAAGGGAGCUUGCUCCUGGAUUCAGCGGCGGACGGGUGAGUAAUGCCUAGGAAUCUGCCUGGUAGUGGGGGAUAACGUCCGGAAACGGGCGCUAAUACCGCAUACGUCCUGAGGGAGAAAGUGGGGGAUCUUCGGACCUCACGCUAUCAGAUGAGCCUAGGUCGGAUUAGCUAGUUGGUGGGGUAAAGGCCUACCAAGGCGACGAUCCGUAACUGGUCUGAGAGGAUGAUCAGUCAGACUGGAAGUGAGACACGGACCAGACUACUGCGUGAGGCAGCAGUGGGGAAUAUUGGAGAAAGGGCGAAGGCUUGAUACAGCCAUGCCGCGUGUGUGAAGAAGAUUUACGGAUUGUAAAGCACUUUAAGUUGGGAGGAAGGACAAUAAGCUAAUACCUUGCUGGUUGGACGUUACCAAAAGAAUAAGCAACGGCUAACUUCGUG